rnacentral:rRNA from 1 species
GGUGGAGUGAUUUGUCUGGUUAAUUCCGAUAACGAACGAGACUCUGUCCUGCUAAAUAGUUUCAAUGUCUUUUACGCGUUGGAAUUUCUUCUUAGAGGGACUGGCGGCGUCUAGCCGCACGAGAUUGAGCAAUAACAGGUCUGUGAUGCCCUUAGAUGUUCUGGGCUGCACGCGCGCUACACUGAAGGGCUCAGCGUGUUUUCCCUUUUCGAGAGAAACGGGUAACCCGCUGAACUCCCUUCGUGGUAGGGAUCGGGGCUUGCAAUUAUUCCCCGUGAACCAGGAAUUCCCAGUAAGCGCAAGUCAUAAGCUUGCGUUGAUUAC